rnacentral:rRNA from 1 species
GAUGAACGCUGGCGGCGUGCCUAAUACAUGCAAGUCGAGCGAACAGAUGAGGAGCUUGCUCCUCUGACGUUAGCGGCGGACGGGUGAGUAACACGUGGAUAACCUACCUAUAAGACUGGGAUAACUUCGGGAAACCGGAGCUAAUACCGGAUAAUAUAUUGAACCGCAUGGUUCAAUAGUGAAAGACGGUUUUGCUGUCACUUAUAGAUGGAUCCGCGCCGCAUUAGCUAGUUGGUAAGGUAACGGCUUACCAAGGCAACGAUGCGUAGCCGACCUGAGAGGGUGAUCGGCCACACUGGAACUGAGACACGGUCCAGACUCCUACGGGAGGCAGCAGUAGGGAAUCUGCCGCAAUGGGCGAAAGCCUGACGGAGCAACGCCGCGUGAGUGAUGAAGGUCUUCGGAUCGUAAAACUCUGUUAUUAGGGAAGAACAAAUGUGUAAGUAACGAUGCACGUCUUGACGGUACCUAAGCAGAAAGCCACGGCUAACUACGU